AGAGUUUGAUCCUGGCUCAGAAUGAACGCUGGCGGCGUGGAUUAGGCAUGCAAGUCGAACGAGAAAGCGGAUUUAUUCGCAAUUAAAGUGGCGAACGGGUGAGUAACGCGUGGGAAACCUGCCUUCGAGUGGGGGAUAACAUUCCUAACGGGAUGCUAAUACCGCAUAACAUCACAGGCCGCAUGACCUGUGAUCAAAGAUGGCCUCUACAUGUAAGCUGUCGCUUGAAGAUGGUCCCGCGUCCCAUUAGCUUGUUGGUAGGGUAACGGCCUACCAAGGCAUCGAUGGGUAGCCGGCCUGAGAGGGUGACCGGCCACACUGGGACUGAGACACGGCCCAGACUCCUACGGGAGGCAGCAGUCGAGAGGCUUCGGCAAUGGGGGAAACCCUGACCGAGCGACGCCGCGUGGACGAUGAAGUUUUUCGGAAUGUAAAGUCCUGUCAUACGGGAUGAAAAGCCAAUUGGUAAACAGCCUUUUGUCUGACAGUACCGUAAGAGGAAGCUCCGCUAA
rnacentral:rRNA from 1 species